UGUGUACUCCCUCUGUCCGAAAAUACUUGUCAUAGAAAUGGAUACAAAAUGGUUGUAUCUAAAACUAAAAUACAUCUAGGUACAUCCAUUCCUCGGACAACUAUUUUCGGAUGGAGGGAGUAGCUC
rfam:Triticum aestivum genome assembly, contig: Triticum_aestivum_CS42_TGACv1_scaffold_404390_5BL